rnacentral:tRNA from 1 species
GCCUGGCUUGCUCAGUUGGUAGAGCACAUGACUAUUGAUCUCAGGGUUGUGAGUUCAAACCUCACAUUGGGUG